rnacentral:lncRNA from 1 species
AGGACUUGUCUGCAGUUCCACGCCAAUCAUGGAUUGGGCACCACACUGUGACCUGACUUCACCUUUGCCCAGAGUGCGAAAACACAAAUGACGCCAUCAGGGGCCUGCAAGCAUGGAUGCGAUAUCAGAGGUGAAAUAUACAUCGUCUGCAAUAGCCGUCUGAUACAUUUGUUUGAACGCUGCAGGACUUGUCAGGCUACAUGCAAUGUGCAGAAAGCAACAGAUAGAUGCCUUCUGCACCUCACACCCAUGUGUCCACUACAGCACGUAUGUAUGGUCAUGGGAAAGCCAGCCAUCACUAAAUAGAAAGGCAAAAUCCAUCUUGUUGGUUGACAUCUCUUGGCAUCUAGAAAUGAGAAUAGAACAAGUGAUGAAUUAGUCGCAUGUUUAAAUUACCAGAGGCAUUUUACCUACGACAAAAGAAAAAUAAGUAAAGCAGAUGUGGCCACAUCAAACUUCCUGACUGCCACCUUUGUUUUUGCAGUUUCUUUUUUUCUUUUACUAGAGGCCAACUUACAUGUGUGCUUGGCAGCGCACGAAAACUUGCGCCGGCAUGCCUUGCAUUUGCUGCACCUCGCAAGGAAUAUCGGUUUGCAUCUGGAAGAGACGUGUGCCAGGCCACUCCCGCUUAGCUCACUUUAGCCGUUCUGACAGGCAUUGUUUCGUACUUUGUAAUUGGCUGUGCUUUUGAAAUGCUGAAAUAUUGGCAAGCAAUAUUGUUUUAUUUUUAUAGUUGUUAGAUCAGUGCAAAACGUAAUGAAAGAAAGCACAUUCUUCCAUGACACAAAUCUGCCUUGCGGAGUGUUGAUUGCCCCACGCCGUAGUUACAUAGCCAGGCUAUAGCCAGGAAACACUAGACAGCCAAGCAUCGAUAACUCUCUGGAACAGAUAUUCGUGCUUGUGCCGCACAUGGACGUGUACAGUCUGUCCCGCACCAUCUUCGCAUGUGUAGGUGUGCCAGCGCGAGCUUUCACACACCAGCAAGCAUACAUAUAGUUUGGCCUUAAGGCAACUGCAACUGUUGGCACAACUUUCUUUUGCAGCUUUGCAUUCUUAUAUGGUGGGUGACGAGUAGGGGCUGACUUGUGAUGCGUCCUGUGUUAGGGCACUAAGGGUAUGAAAGCGUCACUUGUGCACAAGCAUGAAAUGUUUUACAGGAGCUUAGCUCUAAUGUAUAGCUGCGCACAAUUUCAGCAUGUCAGAAAUAUCAUAAUUAGCCUUGAUGUGCAGCCUAGGUGUGCCAUUAGCCUAGGUGGGCCAUUUGGAUUUGUGCAAAAGUGCCUUUUCUGUUACUGGUAGACAUUGCACUCUGCUACAGAGGUUGUGAUGUAUGUUCAAUUUUAUGUGCCUCCUUAUUUUGUACCCCACCACAUAUAUGUAGAUGUGAUCCUGUUCACAAGUUUAAACCCAAAAAGAAGCACUGCACCUAGCAUUGGUGCAAUCCACCAUUGGUGUGGCUGUUCCUAAGGUUCAGCUCUACUUAGUCAUUCAGGCUGCCCUGUUGUUUCCAUUCGCGCACAAGAGUGCCGAUUGCUGCCAUACACUACAAUGAAAAUGGAGUUCGCCAACAAGCACAUGGGAUCAGCCGGGAAACGAGGGGCUGUGUGAUCUAGGAAGGGACGACGCACAGAGGCCACCCUUUCUACUGUGAUGAGCCAUCCUACGGCUAUGUUUGCUUUCUUCUCGAGGAAACACUCUUUGAGUACGACUGCUACAAGGAAGCAUCAGGAGCUACCGGAGGCAUUCAAUAUGCUCCACCAAGCACUGCUAGUAGACUAUUUAGUUGGUUUGUGCGUGUGAUGGUUGGUUUUGAUUAUAUAUACAUGUUUUGUUAACAAUCAGGUUUGUUGUUUCCUUUC